rnacentral:rRNA from 1 species
GAUGAACGCUGGCGGCGUGCCUAAUACAUGCAAGUCGAGCGAACAGACGAGGAGCUUGCUCCUCUGACGUUAGCGGCGGACGGGUGAGUAACACGUGGAUAACCUACCUAUAAAACUGGGAUAACUUCGGGAAACCGGAGCUAAUACCGGAUAAUAUAUUGAACCGCAUGGUUCAAUAGUGAAAGACGGUUUUGCUGUCACUUAUAGAUGGAUCCGCGCCGCAUUAGCUAGUUGGUAAGGUAACGGCUUACCAAGGCAACGAUGCGUAGCCGACCUGAGGGGGUGGACCGCCCCACCGGAACUGAGACACCGUCCCGACUCCCAAGGGGGGGCAGAAUUGGGAAUUCUCCGCAAAGGGGGAAAACCCGGCCGAGGCAACCCGCGUGAGUGAAGAAAGUCUUCGGGUUGUAAAACCCCUUUUACAGGGAAAAAAAAAUGUGUAAAGAACUAUUCCCGUUUUGAGGGUACCCAAUCAGAAAGCCCCCGGUAACCUAGGG